GACGAACGCUGGCGGCGUGCUUAACACAUGCAAGUCGAACGGAAAGGCCCUGCUUUUGUGGGGUGCUCGAGUGGCGAACGGGUGAGUAACACGUGAGUAACCUGCCCUUGACUUUGGGAUAACUUCAGGAAACUGGGGCUAAUACCGGAUAGGAGCUCCUGCUGCAUGGUGGGGGUUGGAAAGUUUCGGCGGUUGGGGAUGGUCUCGCGGCUUAUCAGCUUGUUGGUGGGGUAGUGGCUUACCAAGGCUUUGACGGGUAGCCGGCCUGGGAGGGUGAACGGGCACAUUGGGACUGAGAGACGGCCCAGACUCCUACCGGAGGCAGCAGGGGGGAAUAUGGCACAAUGGGCGGAAGCCUGAUGCAGCAACGCCGCGUGCGGGAAGACGGCCUUCGGGUUGUAAACCGCUUUCGCCUGUGACGAAGCGUGAGUGACGGUAAUUGGUAAAGAAGCACCGGCUAACUACGUG
rnacentral:rRNA from 1 species